rnacentral:lncRNA from 1 species
AGAUUAAUAAAGAGACUGAGACAAGAAACAUUUGUCAAACUCUGUCUUGAGAAGGCAAAGAUUUCACACCUGUUUUUGGAUAUUAGGCUUUUUAAGGCUAUGUUUGUUUGCUUUACUUUGUUCUCAGACCAUUUUGAAGAGGUUAAAUCGUGUAAUAAAUUUUUCCCAGUGUUCUGUUUCUACGUUAUACUCCUCUGCAGCAUGUUUAACUUCAUGAAAUUUCUCAACUUCAAAUCUGUUCUCUUCCAUUCGCUUGUUAUCAUAGAGUAAAUGUCUCAUUAUGG